rnacentral:rRNA from 1 species
CCUACGGGAGGCAGCAGUAAGGAAUAUUGGUCAAUGGACGAAAGUCUGAACCAGCCAUGCCGCGUGAAGGAUUAAGGCCCUCUGGGUUGUAAACUUCUUUUAUCUGGGACGAAAAAAGGGUAUUCUUACUCACUUGACGGUACCAGAGGAAUAAGCACCGGCUAACUCCGUGCCAGCAGCCGCGGUAAUACGGAGGGUGCAAGCGUUAUCCGGAUUUACUGGGUUUAAAGGGUGCGUAGGUGGGCUUGUAAGUCAGUGGUGAAAUCUCCGGGCUUAACCCGGAAACUGCCAUUGAUACUAUAGGUCUUGAAUUAUCUGGAGGUAAGCGGAAUAUGUCAUGUAGCGGUGAAAUGCUUAGAUAUGACAUAGAACACCAAUUGCGAAGGCAGCUUACUACGGAUAUAUUGACACUGAGGCACGAAAGCGUGGGGAUCAAACAGGAUUAGAUACCCUGUAGUCCACGCCCUAAACGAUGGAUACUCGACAUCAGCGAUACACUGUUGGUGUCUGAGNGAGANAUAUAUCCACCNGAGACGANCGCAGAUAGAACGUACGAAGAAGUAGUAGCGUGAGAGUGACGACGACGACGACGAGGGAGGAGG